CGAGAGUUGGCUAGAUAUGGUGGAGUUGGCUAGAUACGGUUGAGUUGGCUAGAUACGGUUGAGUUGGCUAGAUACGGUUGAGUUGGCUAGAUAUGGUGGAGUUGGCUAGAUACGGUUGAGUUGGCUAGAUACGUUGAGUUGGCUAGAUAUGGUGGAGUUGGCUAGAUAUGGUUGAGUUGGCUAGAUACGGUUGAGUUGGCUAGAUAUGGUUGAGUUGGCUAGAUACGGUUGAGUUGGCUAGAUACGUUGAGUUGGCUAGAUACGGUUGAGUUGGCUAGAUACGGUUGAGUUGGCUAGAUACGGUUGAGUUGGCUAGAUAUGGUUGAGUUGUGAAUCAGGGAUCACAUACUAAAAUGUACUGUAUGCACUCAUUUUUUUGCUUUGGAGUUGCUUGGCUAUAUUAUAUGUUAUGUUAUGAUA
ensembl:lncRNA